GUCUGUUUGCUAUAUCCUGCCUCCAGUUUGUCCUUUAAAGGCUGCCAGGGCAUUGAUUAGAAGGAAAAGGCCACAACUUCACCACUCGGGAGGAGCAGCUGAUUAAUCCCAUGUCAACAGUCUUGACCCUAUAUAGGAAAGAGAAUCAUAGAAGGCCUGCUUAACAAUAUAUCAAGGAUACACACUUUGGAAAAU